UGGGGAAUUUUCCGCAAUGGGCGCAAGCCUGACGGAGCAAUACCGCGUGAGGGAGGAAGGCUUUUGGGUUGUAAACCUCUUUUCUCAAGGAAGAAGCACUGACGGUACUUGAGGAAUCAGCAUCGGCUAACUCCGUGCCAGCAGCCGCGGUAAUACGGAGGGUGCAAGCGUUGUCCGGAUUUAUUGGGUUUAAAGGGUGCGUAGGCGGCCGAUUAAGUCAGUGGUGAAAUGCUACAGCUCAACUGUGGACCUGCCAUUGAAACUGGUUGGCUUGAGUAUAGUCGAGGUAGGCGGAAUUUAUGGUGUAGCGGUGAAAUGCAUAGAUACCAUAAGGAACCCCGAUAGCGAAGGCAGCUUACUAGGCUAUAACUGACGCUGAGGCACGAAAGCGUGGGGAGCGAACAGGAUUAGAUACCCCUGUAGUCC
rnacentral:rRNA from 1 species